rnacentral:rRNA from 1 species
CAGUCGCCACGGUAAUACAGAGGGUGCGAGCGUUAAUCGGAUUUACUGGGCGUAAAGCGUGCGUAGGCGGCUUUUUAAGUCGGAUGUGAAAUCCCUGAGCUUAACUUAGGAAUUGCAUUCGAUACUGGGAAGCUAGAGUAUGGGAGAGGAUGGUAGAAUUCCAGGUGUAGCGGUGAAAUGCGUAGAGAUCUGGAGGAAUACCGAUGGCGAAGGCAGCCAUCUGGCCUAAUACUGACGCUGAGGUACGAAAGCAUGGGGAGCAAACAGGAUUAGAGACCCCAGUAGUCCCUGUCUAUUAUAC